ACAUGCAAGUCGAGCGGCAGCGACAUCAACAAUCCUUCGGGUGCGUUGAUGGGCGGCGAGCGGCGGACGGGUGAGUAAUGCCUGGGAAUAUGCCCUGAUGUGGGGGAUAACCAUUGGAAACGAUGGCUAAUACCGCAUAAUCUCUUCGGAGCAAAGAGGGGGACCUUCGGGCCUCUCGCGUCAGGAUUAGCCCAGGUGAGAUUAGCUAGUUGGUGAGGUAAGAGCUCACCAAGGCGACGAUCUCUAGCUGGUCUGAGAGGAUGAUCAGCCACACUGGAACUGAGACACGGUCCAGACUCCUACGGGAGGCAGCAGUGGGGAAUAUUGCACAAUGGGGGAAACCCUGAUGCAGCCAUGCCGCGUGUGUGAAGAAGGCCUUCGGGUUGUAAAGCACUUUCAGUCGUGAGGAAGGCGUUAUCGUUAAUAGCGGUAGUGUUUGACGUUAGCGACAGAAGAAGCACCGGCUAACUCCGUGCCAGCAGCCGCGGUAAUACGGAGGGUGCGAGCGUUAAUCGGAAUUACUGGGCGUAAAGCGCAUGCAGGCGGCUUGUUAAGCCAGAUGUGAAAGCCCGGGGCUCAACCUCGGAAUAGCAUUUGGAACUGGCAGGCUAGAGUCUUGUAGAGGGGGGUAGAAUUUCAGGUGUAGCGGUGAAAUGCGUAGAGAUCUGAAGGAAUACCGGUGGCGAAGGCGGCCCCCUGGACAAAGACUGACGCUCAGAU
rnacentral:rRNA from 1 species